rnacentral:tRNA from 1 species
GGAGCGUAGAGCUCAGUGGUAGAGCACAUGUUUAGCAUGCACGAGGUCCUGGGUUCAAUUUCCAGUACUUCCA